rnacentral:rRNA from 1 species
UACGGGGGGUGCAAGCGUUGCUCGGAAUUAUUGGGCGUAAAGCGUACGCAGGCGGCUUGGCAAGUCGAGUGUGAAAUCCCGGGGCUCAACCCCGGACUGGCAUUCGAAACUGCUGAGCUUGAGUGCGGGAGAGGGAAGCGGAAUUCCUGGUGUAGAGGUGAAAUUCGUAGAUAUCAGGAGGAACACCGGUGGCGAAAGCGGCUUCCUGGCCCGAUACUGACGCUCAUGUACGAAAGCGUGGGGAGCAGACAGG